rnacentral:rRNA from 1 species
CACGGGGGGAGCAAGCGUUGUUCGGAAUCACUGGGCUUAAAGGGCGUGUAGGCGGUCAGGUUAGUGAGAUGUGAAACGCCCCGGCUCACCCGGGGACCUGCAUCUCAAACUGCCUGGCUUGAGUAUGGGAGAGGAUGAGGGAAUUCCUGGUGUAGCGGUGAAAUGCGUAGAUAUCAGGAGGAACACCGGUGGCGAAAGCGCUCAUCUGGCCCAAUACUGACGCUGAGGCGCGAAAGCUAGGGGAGCAAACGGG